rnacentral:rRNA from 1 species
AUGAAUCCCGACAAGUUCACGCACAAGACCAAUGAGGCGCUCGCGGCGGCGCACGAGAUGGCGUCCGAGGCUGGCCACGCGCAGCUCACGCCGCGGCGCUCGUGGCGGACAAGUCAGGCAUCCUCCGCCAGGCCAUCGCCCACGCGUCUGGUGGCAACGACGCCGCGGCCGCCGCGCUCAAGAGGCUUCCCUUGCAGUCCCCGCCGCCCGACACCGUCCCGACGUCCACCUCGCUGGUCAAGGUCGUCUGCCAUGCGCAGUCGGCACAGAAGUCGCGCGGUGACUCGCACCUUGCCGUCGACCAGCUGCUCAUGGGCCUCCCCGAGGACCCGCAGAUCUCCGACGCACUCAAGGAAGCCGACGUCUCGGCCGCGCGGGUGA